rnacentral:misc_RNA from 1 species
CACCCCUCAUAGUUCGCAGCACAAAUGCCCUGGCCUUGCGGCGUUGAGUAUUGAAAAGACCCCUUAUGGAAGUUACAAAUCCAUCUCCUGCUCCAUCACUUGGACGCUUAAGCCAGUUUGGAUACUGAUCAGAUUUGCUUGGCUGACCAUCAUUGUCGCUAAAGUUAAGCUCAAUAUCAGGGACACCAGCUCCAUUGGAUUCCCGUUGAUUAUGUGCUUUAUCUUUAAAUUUCUUGCCCUGCAUUCCUGUCACAGACUUCAGCGUUCCCCAAACAACAUGCUUCUUUACUCGUGAGAACAGCCUCCUCCAAGUCCCAGUGAACUCAACACGAUGGAAAGUAUCCAUCAGCAACUUAAGCUCAUGCAGAUUAAAUCUUGAGCUUUCAUAAGUAAUCUGUAGCUCGACC